GUAAGCCUACGGGGGGCAGCAGUGAGGAAUAUUGGUCAAUGGGCUUACGCCUGAACCAGCCAAGUCGCGUGAGGGAAGACUGCCCUAUGGGUUGUAAACCUCUUUUGUCAGGGAGCAAAGUCACCCACGUGUGGGUGUUGGAGAGUACCUGAAGAAAAAGCAUCGGCUAACCCCGUGCCAGCAGCCGCGGUAAUACGGAGGAUGCGAGCGUUAUCCGGAUUUAUUGGGUUUAAAGGGUGCGUAGGCGGGUUAUCAAGUCAGCGGUAAAAUCGUGGAGCUCAACUCCAUCCAGCCGUUGAAACUGG
rnacentral:rRNA from 1 species